rnacentral:rRNA from 1 species
CCCGGUGAUAUUUUAACGGCCGCAGUUAGGAGCUGUGCUAAGGUAGCGUAGUAAGUUGUCCUUUAAAUGGGGAAAGGAAUGAAUGGUUUGACGUGGGGAAGCCUGUCUCUAAUAGAUAGGAAGAAAUUUUCUUUUCGGUGAAAAGCCCGGAAUUUAAUUAAAAGACGAGAAGACCCUUUCGAGCUUGAUUAAGGUGAGAAAAUAUUCUCAGUAAAAGUUUGGUUGGGGCAACCUAGGAGGAAGAGUAGACUCCUUGAAGAUCAUGAAGAGCCAAAAAUUUUGAAAAAAGAAAAAGCUACCGUAGGGAUAACAGCGUAUCUUUCCUGAGAGAACAAAUUGAAGGAGAG